rnacentral:SRP_RNA from 1 species
CUGUGCUAUGGUGGGGAGCUAGCGGUGCCCUGUAACUCACAACCCGCUAUAGUGAGGCCGAAAACCAGACCUGAGGUUUAUAGUAGUGAGUAAAGCGCCUGUGUAAGUGGUGUUGAUAGCUGGGUCUUAUGGAGACAGAGGCUACAAACCCCGUCAGGUCCGAGAGGAAGCAGCGGUAAGUAGUUUUCUGGCUGUCAUAAGGAAACCUGGCUGGAGCUGGCUACACAGGUGGCACUUGUUACUAUAAAUCGAAGUCUGGCGCACAG